rnacentral:rRNA from 1 species
CCACGCUGGAAUGCCGGGAUCCGCAAACGCUACCAAGGCGACGAUCCGUAGCUGGUCUGAGAGRAUGAUCAGCCACAUCGGGASUGAGACRCGGCCCGAACUCSUACGGGAGGCAGCAGUGGGGAAUAUUGGACAAUGGGGGCAACCCUGAUCCAGCCAUGCCGCGUGUGUGAAGAAGGCCCUCGGGUUGUAAAGCACUUUCAGCGAGGAAGAACGCCUGUCGAGUUAAUACCCGGCAGGAAAGACAUCACUCGCAGAAGAAGCACCGGC